rnacentral:rRNA from 2 species
GGGCGUAAGCGCGCGCAGGCGGUUUCUUAAGUCUGAUGUGAAAGCCCACGGCUCAACCGUGGAGGGUCAUUGGAAACUGGGGAACUUGAGUGCACAAGAGAAAAGCGGAAUUCCACGUGUAGCGGUGAAAUGCGUAGAGAUGUGGAGGAACACCAGUGGCGAAGGCGGCUUUUUGGUCUGUAACUGACGCUGAGGCGCGAAAGCGUGGGGAGCAAACAGGAUUAGAUACCCUGGUAGUCCACGCCGUAAACGAUGAGUGCUAAGUGUUAGAGGGUUUCCGCCCUUUAGUGCUGCAGCUAACGCAUUAAGCACUCCGCCUGGGGAGUACGGUCGCAAGACUGAAACUCAAAGGAAUUGACGGGGGCCCGCACAAGCGGUGGAGCAUGUGGUUUAAUUCUAAGCAUCGCGAAGAACCUUACCAGGUCUUGACAUCCUCUGACAACUCUAGAGAUAGAGCGUUCCCCUUCGGGGGACAGAGUGACAGGUGGUGCAUGGUUGUCGUCAGCUCGUGU